rnacentral:rRNA from 1 species
UACAGGGGGGGCAAGCGUUGUUCGGAAUUACUGGGCGUAAAGCGUGCGCAGGCGGUCUUUUAAGUCAGAUGUGAAAUCCCCGGGCUUAACCUGGGAACUGCGUUUGAAACUGGAAGGCUAGAGUGUGGCAGAGGGGGGUGGAAUUCCACGUGUAGCAGUGAAAUGCGUAGAUAUGUGGAGGAACACCGAUGGCGAAGGCAGCCCCCUGGGCUAACACUGACGCUCAUGCACGAAAGCGUGGGGAGCAAACAGG